AAAAGACAGCUACAUUUCUAGUGUCUCGUGGGGAAAAAUUCAAGAUAAAGAAGAAGAAAAAAGUAAAGCAGGCGUAGUAUCUUCUCUCCUGUGCAUUACAAGCCCAUAUGCCAAAAAGAAUGUGACCCCAGAGUCUUUCUUGCUCGCUGGAGCACAGCUUGAUUUUCAGAGAUGAUUGAGUUGGCAUGGUUGUUGCCAAAAGCUUGUUUUGACUUGUAAACCGUAUAAGUUUGAGAUAAAGCUAAGUGAUAGAAGAGAAAAAGAGAACGCUAAGUUAUCAUUUUUACAAUUGCAUUUUAGAACCUGUAGCUGUGAUUGGUGGUGAUGCUUUUUUUUUUCCUCUUAGUUUUUUUUUUCGCCAAGUAUGUUUUCUAUUAUUUAUUUAUUUAUUUAUUGCCAACCUCUUGUUUCCAAACCACUUGCCCCAUAUGCUGUCUCUGUUCAAGUAUUGCAGGAUUCACUGUUGGAAAAUGGAAGAUUGUUUCGGCCCCCACAGGGCUGCUGGAUGACAUCCACCCCCCUUCUGCUGAAAGGUGAUAAAGAAAUAUGCUCAGACCGUAGCAGGCCCUCAAUGCAUCCUUGUUGACUUGAUGUCAGAGAAAAAAAUUCGCACUUUCAAAAUUUGCUGUUGAAAAUUUGAGACGUAAAAAUGCAUAUAUAGAUAGAGUUGUUUGACAGAGCAGCAUCAAACCACACGAGAUCAAUCCAUCAAUAAUGAUGGGCAACAAUUUUAUGGGCUUCCUCCUGCCUCUACAUGCAUUGUUUCAUGUGAUAUGUACAAAAUUGUGAGUUGUUCACUUUCCCUUUGUUCAUUCCUCCAUCCACAAAUAUUUACUGAGCAUCUGCUACGUGCCCACGCAUGGGAAUAUCACAUUGAUAGAGACUAAUCGACCCAUGGCCACGAGGAGAAGUAUCUUCGCUCAGAGGGCUGCAAGCUGUGACCUAAGCCUGCUUCAGCUCCCUGUUGGUUUUUCUAUGAUCUGCAAGCUAGGAAAUAGUUUUCACAUUUUUUGAUGGUUCAAGAAAGAUCAAAGAAAAAUCCUAUUUGGUGAUAUGUGAAAAAUAUAUGAAAUGCAUGUCAGUGUCCGUAAGUAUUUAUUGGUGUCCUAGCCCCAUCCAUUUGAUGACAUUAUGGCUGUUUUGUGAUACAAUGACAGUCUAAGUGUGUGACAGAGACUCCAUGGCCCCAACUCUACACAGGAAAAUAAGUUCCCGACACCAGUCUCAGUGGAUGAAUAAACCAAGGUGAACUUGUUUUCCUUAGAUGCUC
rnacentral:lncRNA from 13 species